GGGUCAGUAGGUUGGUCGUGCCACCGGUACGUACUGGUCUCACUGAAUCCUCCUUCCUGAAGAACCGUAAUGCCAUUAAUUUGGUGUUGCGGGGAAACAGGACUGUUACUUUGAAAAAAUUAGAGUGUUUAAAGCAAGCUAACACUUGAAUACAUUAGCAUGGAAUAAUGAAAUAGGACGAUCGAUCCUAUUUUGUUGGUUUCUAGGAUUGACGUA
rnacentral:rRNA from 1 species